UGCUGGAGGUAUCAGAAGUGCGAAUGCUGACAUAAGUAACGAUAAAGCGGGUGAAAAGCCCGCUCGCCGGAAGACCAAGGGUUCCUGUCCAACGUUAAUCGGGGCAGGGUGAGUCGACCCCUAAGGCGAGGCCGAAAGGCGUAGUCGAUGGGAAACGGGUUAAUAUUCCCGUACUUGGUGUUACUGCGAAGGGGGGACGGAGAAGGCUAUGUUGGCCGGGCGACGGUUGUCCCGGUUUAAGCGUGUAGGUGUGUGUUCCAGGUAAAUCCGGUUCACUUUAACACUGAGGCGUGACGACGAGGCACUACGGUGCUGAAGCAACAAAUGCCCUGCUUCCAGGAAAAGCCUCUAAGCAUCAGGUAACAUCAAAUCGUACCCCAAACCGACACAGGUGGUCAGGUAGAGAAUACCAAGGCGCUUGAGAGAACUCGGGUGAAGGAACUAGGCAAAAUGGUGCCGUAACUUCGGGAGAAGGCACGCUGACACGUAGGUGAAGUGAUUUACUCAUGGAGCUGAAGUCAGUCGAAGAUACCAGCUGGCUGCAACUGUUUAUUAAAAACACAGCACUGUGCAAACACGAAAGUGGACGUAUACGGUGUGACGCCUGCCCGGUGCCGGAAGGUUAAUUGAUGGGGUCAGCGCAAGCGAAGCUCCUGAUCGAAGCCCCGGUAAACGGCGGCCGUAACUAUAACGGUCCUAAGGUAGCGAAAUUCCUUGUCGGGUAAGUUCCGACCUGCACGAAUGGCGUAAUGAUGGCCAGGCUGUCUCCACCCGAGACUCAGUGAAAUUGAACUCGCUGUGAAGAUGCAGUGUACCCGCGGCAAGACGGAAAGACCCCGUGAACCUUUACUAUAGCUUGACACUGAACAUUGAGCCUUGAUGUGUAGGAUAGGUGGGAGGCUUUGAAGUGUGGACGCCAGUCUGCAUGGAGCCGACCUUGAAAUACCACCCUUUAAUGUUUGAUGUUCUAACGUGGACCCGUAAUCCGGGUUGCGGACAGUGUCUGGUGGGUAGUUUGACUGGGGCGGUCUCCUCCUAAAGAGUAACGGAGGAGCACGAAGGUUGGCUAAUCCUGGUCGGACAUCAGGAGGUUAGUGCAAUGGCAUAAGCCAGCUUGACUGCGAGCGUGACGGCGCGAGCAGGUGCGAAAGCAGGUCAUAGUGAUCCGGUGGUUCUGAAUGGAAGGGCCAUCGCUCAACGGAUAAAAGGUACUCCGGGGAUAACAGGCUGAUACCGCCCAAGAGUUCAUAUCGACGGCGGUGUUUGGCACCUCGAUGUCGGCUCAUCACAUCCUGGGGCUGAAGUAGGUCCCAAGGGUAUGGCUGUUCGCCAUUUAAAGUGGUACGCGAGCUGGGUUUAGAACGUCGUGAGACAGUUCGGUCCCUAUCUGCCGUGGGCGCUGGAGAACUGAGGGGGGCUGCUCCUAGUACGAGAGGACCGGAGUGGACGCAUCACUGGUGUUCGGGUUGUCAUGCCAAUGGCACUGCCCGGUAGCUAAAUGCGGAAGAGAUAAGUGCUGAAAGCAUCUAAGCACGAAACUUGCCCCGAGAUGAGUUCUCCCUGAGACUU
rnacentral:rRNA from 4 species